UACGUAGGGGGCAAGCGUUGUCCGGAUUUAUUGGGCGUAAAGCGCUCGCAGGCGGCUUGCUACGUCAUGCGUGAAACACCCCGGCUCAACUGGGGAGGGUCGUGUGAUACGGGCAGGCUUGAGGCCAGUAGGGGGAUGCGGAAUUCCGGGUGUAGUGGUGGAAUGCGUAGAGAUCCGGAGGAACACCAGCGGCGAAGGCGGCAUCCUGGACUGGUACUGACGCUCAUGAGCGAAAGCGUGGGGAGCGAUCCGG
rnacentral:rRNA from 2 species